GGUGAACGCUAGCUACAGGCUUAACACAUGCAAGUCGAGGGGCAGCAUGAACAAAGCUUGCUUUGUUUGAUGGCGACCGGCGCACGGGUGCGUAACACGUAUCCAAUCUGCCCGCGGCUCGGGGAUAGCCCAUCGAAAGAUGGAUUAAUACCCGAUGGCGUGGUCACUCCGCAUGGAGUUUCCACUAAAGGUUUUCCGGCCGCGGAUGAGGAUGCGUAUGAUUAGGUAGUAGGCGGGGUAACGGCCCACCUAGCCUUCGAUCAUUAGGGGUUCUGAGAGGAAGGUCCCCCACACUGGAACUGAGACACGGUCCAGACUCCUACGGGAGGCAGCAGUGAGGAAUAUUGCACAAUGGGGCGAAAGCCUGAUGCAGCGACGCCGCGUGAGUGAAGAAGUAUUUCGGGUAUGUAAAAGCUCUAUCAGCAGGGAAGAAAAAUGACGGUACCUGACUAAGAAGCCCCCGGCUAAACUACGUG
rnacentral:rRNA from 1 species